ACUUAACUCAUUUCUUAAUUACCAAUGUGCGGGUAAUUCCGUAAAUUCAAAAAUGCGGAAAUUUGCACUUUUUUACUAAUUUUACGUUUUAACACGCACGCUCGGUCCUAGCGUCCUGAGUCAACCCAAGCGAGGUAGAAGAUUAAGUUGCCUUCAAGGUGAAUGGUUCCACGGUUCAAAAUAUGGCUGCGUUUGGAAGAAAUCGGCAAACAUCGGAAUUACCCGAAAUUCGGCAUUACCCAACUGCACCUUAAUAAUAAAAUAAAAGUUAAUGCAUACAAAGGCGGACUUAUUGCCAAAGAGCAAUUUCUUCCAGCCAACCUUUGAGUUCCGGGGUUUUUACUUGAUACAUAGUAUUUUACUUGAUUAUGUACCUACUUACAUUCUUCAUCAUAGGUAUAAAUUGCACAAUAUUUUAUAAGCACAGACCUUGAAAGCAUUCCAUACAACUAUCUGCAAAAAUGUAUGUUAUAAAAUAAAUGACAACUAGAAAUUCAAGGUUAUUGCUCAUAAAUGAUUGCAUGGGUAUAUAUUAGUUAUAAUAAAGUCUAAUUCUGUUAUUUUUCAGUUUCGACACGUAAAAGACCAUUGUCAGACAUUAACAAUUUUGCUACAGACAAUACUGCACCGUCCACAUCUGAAGCUUUAUUGAUUUCAACAGAACCAGCAGUAACUGCGAGUACUUCAACAGCUGUACCUAAAAAGCGAUACUCUGCAAGAAAUGAAAAAGUACCCAUAGCAACAAGGAACUACUUGGAAAAGAAGAUCCAGACAUUACGAUGCAAGAAGGAUAGUUACGUGACCAGACUGAAAAAAGCUAUGAAGCUUUCAGAAAACGAAACAUUUAAGAAUUUUUUAAAUAAAUUCACGUCGCUCGCAGCCAUAUUUACGAUUAUGCAGUUUCGAGAAAUAAGCAAACCAAAAAUGGGGAGGAGAUUUUCAAGAAAUGAGAAGAUCAUGGCACUCAGUCUGUAUAAGCAGGGCCCAAAAGCAUACAGAUGGCUAAGAAAAAUAUUUAUACUGCCAUCUCCUGUCACUUUAAGCAGACUGAUUUCAGUUGUGGGAUUAAGGCCAGGGAUAAAUAAAAAAAUAUUCCUACUAUUGAAAAAGAGAGUAGAACGCAUGUCAGAAAACGACAAAUUAUGCAUGGUGUUGUUCGAUGAAAUUUCAAUAACCCCACAUUUCGAACUUAAUAGAAAGAGGGAUGAAAUAACAGGAUUUGUAAACAAUGGCACAGAACG